rfam:Ascoidea rubescens DSM 1968 unplaced genomic scaffold ASCRTscaffold_19, whole genome shotgun sequence.
GCUCUUGUGGCGCAGAGGUAAGCGCUUCGUGCUUAUAAUCGUUCAACGACGUUUAUCACAAUGUCACGGUCCGUUAAGUAACGCGACGGUCGUGGGUUCGAUCCCCUCCUAGAGCA